AGAGUUUGAUCCUGGCUCAGGAUGAACGCUAGCUACAGGCUCAACACAUGCAAGUCGAGGGGAAACGGACAUCGAAAGCUUGCUUUUGAUGGGCGUCGACCGGCGCACGGGUGAGUAACGCGUAUCCAACCUGCCCACCACUUGGGGAUAACCUUGCGAAAGUAAGACUAAUACCCAAUGAUAUCUCUAGAAGACAUCUGAAAGAGAUUAAAGAUUUAUCGGUGAUGGAUGGGGAUGCGUCUGAUUAGCUUGUUGGCGGGGUAACGGCCGACCAAGGCGACGGAUCAGUAGGGGUUCUGAGAGGAAGGUCCCCCACAUUGGAACUGAGACACGGUCCAAACUCCUACCGGGAGGCCA
rnacentral:rRNA from 1 species